CGUAACGGUUCAGAUCUCGUGGAGGUUCAGAAGCUGCUAGGUGAACAUGCAAUGAAAAUUCUUAUGAUGUGUAAGGUGUACUAAUCCUUUUAAAGAAAAAGACAAGUACUUCUGUAGCAUUACUCCAGCAUACUCCAUCAUUACUCCAUAUCCGUUAUAAAGAUGACUUCUUUAUGUUGACUACUAAGGAGGGGAAAAUGAUUGUUGAGAGGGAUCAUUUCAGGGUUAAAAGGGAAAGUGAGUUGCGUAAUUUAGACUUUGAGCAACAUCCUGCUCAGAUUCUUGAUGCUUUCAUGCCACUCUAUUUGAAUAGCCAGAUUUUGAGGGCACUUGAAGAGUCAUUUGCGAGUGAGCUUGCUGCUAGGAUGAAUGCAAUGAGUAAUGCCACGUGUCUGCAGGAGCGGAGGGAGAGUAGGAGAUAUGGGUUCGACCGAACCCAGUGGCUUUGGUGCAAAUCAUUGAUGCUGCUGCAAAUGAAAGUAAAAAGACA